AUGGGGGCGUCCGAAUCUGUGCCGGAGACCUCCGUACACGAAUUCACCGUUAAGGAUUGCAACGGCAAGGAGGUGUGCCUGGACACGUACAAGGGGAAGGUCCUCCUCAUCGUCAACGUCGCCUCCAAAUGCGGGUUCACGGAGACUAAUUACACGCAGCUGACGGAGCUUUAUCAGAAGUACAGGGAGAAAGACUUUGAGAUAUUAGCAUUCCCCUGCAACCAGUUUUUGCGACAAGAGCCAGGCAGUGACCAGCAGAUCCAAGACUUUGCAUGCACAAGAUUCAAAGCUGAGUAUCCAGUUUUUCAGAAGGUGCGUGUAAAUGGCCCAGAUGCUGCGCCGCUUUACAAGUUUCUGAAAGCUAGCAAACCUGGUUUGUUUGGUUCAAGAAUCAAGUGGAACUUUACCAAGUUUCUUGUUGACAAGAAUGGAAAAGUAAUCAACAGAUACGCAACUGCUACCACUCCAUUUUCAUUCGAGAAAGACAUCCAGAAGGCACUUGAGGAGGAACCCUCCGACUCGCAGACAAAAAAAGAGGAGGAAUCUUCCGACUCGCAGAAGUAG
rnacentral:rRNA from 1 species